rnacentral:rRNA from 1 species
CCUACGGGAGGCAGCAGUAGGGAAUCUUCCACAAUGGACGAAAGUCUGAUGGAGCAACGCCGCGUGAGCGAUGAAGGCCUUCGGGUCGUAAAGCUCUGUUGUUAGGGAAGAACAAGUAUCGGAGUAACUGCCGGUACCUUGACGGUACCUAACCAGAAAGCCACGGCUAACUACGUGCCAGCAGCCGCGGUAAUACGUAGGUGGCAAGCGUUGUCCGGAAUUAUUGGGCGUAAAGCGCGCGCAGGUGGUUCCUUAAGUCUGAUGUGAAAGCCCACGGCUCAACCGUGGAGGGUCAUUGGAAACUGGGGGACUUGAGUGCAGAAGAGGAAAGUGGAAUUCCAAGUGUAGCGGUGAAAUGCGUAGAGAUUUGGAGGAACACCAGUGGCGAAGGCGACUUUCUGGUCUGUAACUGACACUGAGGCGCGAAAGCGUGGGGAGCAAACAGGAUUAGAUACCCUGGUAGUCCACGCCGUAAACGAUGAGUGCUAAGUGUUAGAGGGUUUCCGCCCUUUAGUGCUGCAGCUAACGCAUUAAGCACUCCGCCUGGGGAGUACGGCCGCAAGGCUGAAACUCAAAGGAAUUGACGG